GAUGAACGCUAGCUACAGGCUUAACACAUGCGAGUCGCGGGGAAGCAUGGGGGUUGCUUGCCACCCCUGAUGGCGACCGGCGCACGGGUGAGUAACGCGUAUCCAACCUGCCCUUCAGCACGGGAUAACGCGGCGAGAGUCGGACUAAUAACGUGUGUUGUCAAUUGACGGCAUCAGAUUGGGAGGCAGGGGUUGGGGGUGGAAGGGAGGGGUUGCGUCCGAUUGGCGUGGCGGGGGGGGAACGGCCCACCGUGGGUACGAUCGGUAGGGGUUCUGAGCGGAAGGUCCCCCACACUGGAACUGAGACACGGUCCAGACUCCUACGGGAGGCAGCAGUGAGGAAUAUUGGUCGAGGGGCGUAAGCCUGAACCAGCCAAGUAGCGUGCAGGAUGACGGCCCUAUGGGUUGUAAACUGCUUUUAUGCGGCGAUAAAGUGGCCCACGUGUGGGCUUUUGCAGGUACCGCAUGAAUAAGGACCGGCUAAUUCCGUG
rnacentral:rRNA from 1 species